rnacentral:rRNA from 1 species
UUCGCAAUGCCCGAAAGGGUGACGAAGCGACGCCGCGUGGGUGAGGAAGGCCUUCGGGUUGUAAAGCCCUGUCAGGAGUUAAGAAAUGUAAGUGCGCUAAUAUCGCAUUUAUUUGACGAAGGCUCCAAAGGAAGUCACGGCUAACUCUGUGCCAGCAGCCGCGGUAAUACAGAGGUGGCAAGCGUUGUUCGGAAUUAUUGGGCGUAAAGAGCACGUAGGUGGGUUUGUAAGUCAGAUGUGAAAGCCUUCUGUUCAACGGAAGAAUUGCAUCUGAAACUGCGAGUCUUGAGUGUAGGGGGGGAGAAUGGAACUUCUGGUGGAGCGGUGAAAUGCGUAGAUAUCAGAAGGAACGCCGGCGGCGAAAGCGAUUCUCUGGCCUAUUACUGACACUCAGUGUGCGAAAGCUAGGGGAGCAAACGGGAUUAGAUACCCCGGUAGUCCUAGCCGUAAACGAUGGGCACUAAGUAGAGGGGUUUU